UACGAAGGGUGCAAACGUUGCUCGGAAUUAUUGGGCGUAAAGCGCACGUAGGCGGCUUAGCAAGUCGAAAGUGAAAUCCCACGGCUCAACCAUGGAAGUGCUUUCGAAACUGCUGAGCUUGAGUACGAAAGAGGAUCGCGGAAUUCCCGGUGUAGAGGUGAAAUUCGUAGAUAUCGGGAGGAACACCAGUGGCGAAGGCGGCGAUCUGGGUCGAUACUGACGCUGAGGUGCGAAAGCGUGGGGAGCAAACAGG
rnacentral:rRNA from 1 species